rnacentral:lncRNA from 1 species
ACUCCAUCGGUGCCUUUGGGAAGCGCCGCCUUCUCUGUUGUACCCGGCCGUGGGUCAGGUCGGCGCGGCUGGCGGUGGAGUCUCGGACACCGAGCCCUGGACCCCGACUCUGGAAGCCCCCAGCCCCACUGGGCCGCGGCAGGGCGCCCACCCUCCACAAUCUCAGUUCCCAGCCGGGGAGUGAGGGGCUGGGCGGGUCUCUCCACCGCUUUGGAGACCUCAGGACUUGGAUACGCUUUUGAGUGGUCCCAGUCGUCCUGAUCCACGAAGGCGUGGAGUGGAAGUCAGGACCAGGGGUCGCCCCAGUGACGCAGGAAGUCAAGCCCAGAUGCGGUGAGGCGUCGCCAGCCUUGGACCCAGCAGUGGGCGCUGGUGACAGUGGCGACCUCGCCGAUGAGAGGGUCUUGCUCUGCUGCUGACACUGGCCUUGAGCUGCUGGUCUCAAGCGAUCCUCCAGCCUCAGCCUCCUGAGUUGGGAUUACAGGCACAAGCCACAGUGCUCGACUUUUUAUUUAAUCUUGUUAGAAGACAAGACAGAAACAUGUCCGUUGUGAAAACAAGGAAGCUGCGGGCAGAUCGAUUGACCCCAGGAGUUCAAGACCAUUCUGGGCAACAUAGCAAGACUCUAUCUCUGAAGACAAAACCAGCCAACCAACCAACCAACCAAUCAACCAACAAAAAAGAUCAAGCAGAGGUGCUCCAGAGGACGCAGCAAUAGAAUUCCGGAGCAAUGUCUGCUUGGCCUCGGUCUUCAUUCCCAUGGUGGCCCCUGAGUUCCGUGGAGCUCACUUCUACAUAGUUCCAUGUGUGACUUCAACAAAAUAAAAUGACGCAUUUAUUGGUUAAAAAUCAGAGAUUACCAUCAGAUAUGGAAAAUUGCUUUUACUUGGUAAUAACAAUCUUACGCACUUUUUACCAAACCCAUCGCAUUAAAUAACUAGCGUUUCAAAUUUUGACACUGCAUAAUAAACCCUCAUUUGAAAUGACUGGAGAAAUACUCAUCAAAUCUCAUGGAAGAAUGACAGAAUUUUCUCCAGAAUUUAUCGGAAAGGAAAAGAGGUUGGACUGUCAGGAAACGUUUUCAGGGUAACAUACUUACUAUUUUCUAGACAGUUACUCAGAUAACACUUGUACGCAGAGGGAAACACACCCCUGGGCUUUGCAAACACUUGUUUCCUGUGUGUCAGACUCGCCUGCAUCCUGUUUAUCAAAUGGAACGGAUAGUUAUUGAAAGCAAAGACCAGAACAACUUACCUCUUGUCAGUCACCUGCUUUUCUUUACUUGUCAUACUUUUAGCAUUUACAAAGUUUUAAAAAUGUGUUUAUCAUUUGGUAAUUAUUUUUAAACUUUAUUUGAAAAUAUAGACUGAGUUCUGAACAAAUUAUCCUUAAAUUUCUUCCUCUAGUAGUUACACUUUUCAGUAUCAGUGAAGUUUUAUGACGCCUCUAUUUUUCCUACCCACACAGCAUCUCAAGUUUGUCUUUACAGAAUAACUGGAAGUCCUAGCUUUAUCCUCUCUCUGCGUUUCUCUCUCACAGCCCCCUCCUCUUGGACUCUGCUCUUCCUCUCAGCACCGUAACCUUUUUAAUUUCCAGAUAGGUUUUGAAAACACCAUCUGUUCCCCUCUUAGGAUCCCUGGGGCAGAUGAUAGGUGAACCCCACAUCCCAGACACAUGGCCACCAAAGAUAUUCUUGCUUUUUUAAUGUUUAUCAAGUUCCUCCGCAGACAACAGAAAAAAGUGAUCCGCUGCCAGCGACAGGGAGACACACAACUGGUCCUUAUUCUAAAGACCCGACCCAGCCUGGAAUGGGGCCCGGCGAGGAGUUCUUGCGCCGGCCGCGGGGACUGGGCGGUAAUGAGCCGCUAGUCUCGGAAGGUGGUGCUGUUGGGUGUGAGGGGAGAUCCGGCUUGCGCUGAAACAGCGAGCGGCGUGCAAGGAGGAAGCCGCGAUUUCCAAGGCGGAUUCCCUUCGCUGGGACACAACUCUUGAGAAUAAGACUUAUAAGGACUCUGAGAGUUUGAGGCAGAGGCAGAACGGCUCUGGGCUGAGUGAUGGGGAGGAUACCAGCACUCAGCGCGGGUGGCGGGCGCGGGGCCGAGCGCGCGCAUCCAGGGACGCCUUGGGGACGGGACGCGGAGAAAAGUUGCCGGGCGGAGAGAAAGGGUGGCGCUGGAAACCAAAUGGCUUUCAUCCCCUGGAGACAAAGAGGUGCCUUCUUUUGACAACAGCUGCCAGUGACACACACACCAUACGGCGGGGCCGGCGGGGGAGGGGAGCCCGGGAGGAGAGCGUCUAAGGCGGGGACCGGCACUGACUUUCAAUAAUGGGGUGGUUGCCAUGGUGACGGGCCAGGCAUCUAAAGGGGCGGCUGAAAGCACCCAUUGUUCUGGGGCCCGGCUGCUCGGGUUGUGCCUGUUCCUAAGAGACACCUUUAGACACCUCCCUCCGUGCAGGGGCGAGCUGCGGCCCGGGGCUGGGAGCGUCUCCGCGGGAGUUUCACACCAGGGCCCCAGGCCGCAGAUCGCAGCGCCGCCUUGGCUGCACGCGCGCUGCAUACGGAGGGCAGCGCCGCCUCCCACGCACUAUCCGCCCGAAAUCCGAGCGCGACGCGCGCCCGCCUGGGCCCAGACGCGCAGGCCGGGACACGCAGCUCCGCCUGCUCCCCGCUGUCCCGGGGAGACUUCGAAUAACAAUGCGGAGCAGGACCCGGUGACUCCACAAAUAACUCGCUGAGGUCUGGGGCGAGGGCACUCGGGAAAACCCCGCAGUCACUUUGCAGUCGUGCUGGAAGGAAAAGCAGAACGGAAUCACAGGAUAAAGAAGAUUAAAAGUAACAGGGCAGCGUUGCAAUGUUGCUUGUAAGAGCAAGCAGCUGGAAACAACCUAAAAGCCCGUCCCUGGGGGCUGGGUGAAUGAUAUGGGGCGCAUCCCUCUGAGGGAACACUAAGCUGCCAUUAAAGAGUACAGGGCAGCUGUAUUUGCUGAGACGUGGAAAUUUUCCGGUGUAUUCUAAGUAAUAAAGUGCAGAAGAGUGUGAGUAGGGCUGUGUGUAUGUGGUAUGUGUGUUUGCAUCUCUGGAAGUGGUUGCUUCUUAGGAUGGUCACUGUGGGACUAGGAGUGGAGGAGAGAAAGAAAACUUGCUUUUCACCGUACUAGAAUCUUCUGCACCUUUUGAAUUUUGCCGUUUAUACUAUGUCUUUACCUGUAAAGAAAAAAGAACUUUGAAAUAAAGUUGCAUUUGCUUGAACACUGUCUAAUGAGAUGUGCCACUCUCCAUAAAGCAUCUGAACUCAUUUUUAGUGCUUUAAUAAAUAUUAAUUUUUAAAAUAUAUAUGCACAAAUGCUAUUAGCCCACAGAUAUGUAAAGGUAGUGACAGUGGCAAGUUAGAGAUGAAAAGAUACACUUCUUUCCUGCCUUCCUGUGGUGCCGAGACGGACGGAGCCAGCUGUCAUUCAAGGAGCCUGCUGUAUAACCCAUCUAUUAUUAUAUCACAUUAAUCAUAGGGAUCUCACAUUAAACAAACAUGACAUUAGGGAAAUUUUCCUAGUUACAAAAUGGUAUAUAAUCAGUGAAAUGGACUAUUGAACACCAAAUGUCAUAGAUUUUUUUUUUUUUUUUGAGACGAGUCAAGCUCUGUUACCCAGGCUGCAGUGCAGUGGUGCGAUCUCGGCUCACUGCAAGCUCCGCCUCCCUGGUUCAAGUGAUUUUGCUGCCUCAGCCUCCG